UGGGGAAUAUUGCACAAUGGGCGCAAGCCUGAUGCAGCCAUGCCGCGUGUAUGAAGAAGGCCUUCGGGUUGUAAAGUACUUUCAGCGGGGAGGAAGGGAGUAAAGUUAAUACCUUUGCUCAUUGACGUUACCCGCAGAAGAAGCACCGGCUAACUCCGUGCCAGCAGCCGCGGUAAUACGGAGGGUGCAAGCGUUAAUCGGAAUUACUGGGCGUAAAGCGCACGCAGGCGGUUUGUUAAGUCAGAUGUGAAAUCCGCGGGCUCAACCUGGGAACUGCAUCUGAUACUGGCAAGCUUGAGUCUCGUAGAGGGGGGUAGAAUUCCAGGUGUAGCGGUGAAAUGCGUAGAGAUCAGGAGGAAUACCGGAGGCGAAGGCGGCCCCCUGGACGAAAACUGACGCUCAGGUGCGAAAGCGUGGGGAGCAAACAGG
rnacentral:rRNA from 1 species